CGAUGGCAAGACAGGUUAAUCAUUGGUCUCUAGAGUCACUGGCCAGAACUCUGAGUUUUCUGCCGAAGUCUGGAAAGCUGGUUGGAGGGAUUGCCACAGCCAGUGUGGAGCAGCGCUUUUAACUGCUUUUAACGCAUGCUUGGAGCCCAGGAGCAAAGAGGACAGGGUCCCUGGUUUUGCAGCCGUAGCUCCAGCAGCUCAGAGCGAAGUCUGCACACCGAGGGACAUUCAGUGAGCACUUGUGAAGCACAAAUGAACGGGCAAGUGAAUGAGCCGGUCGAGAGAAGCGCCAGGAUCCUAGGCGGUGAAUCCGUCCCAGAAGACGGCAGAGCUUCGGACGGAAGUGCAGGAGCCGUGGCCCUGGGCCUGCGUGGUUUCUGACUCACAGCUGCAGACGAGGGACCCAUAGAGGAGGAGAUGCCACACAGCUUGCCAAUCCACUGCCACUGCAUGAGGACACAGCCCGAAAGCAGUCACCUGUAUGCAGGAAGAGCGCCCUCAGCAGGAGCCGGGUGCUGACAUCUUGAUCUUGGAUUUCCAGCAUCCAGGCCAUCGAGGGAGGAAGCCUGCGGCUAUGGUGUGAGCGCCAGGGGAGAGCACUGUGUUCCAGUAGCUUGCCUUCAGUUUGUCUUGUGCUUCCGAGGUACACUGCCCAAGUCUAGGCCACUUCUGCUGGACACAGACCCCCUGGUUCAAGUGGGAGACGGGUGGUCAGUGCCUUCACGCUGUGUCAUGCCGGGGCAGAGGCAAAGAGAGGGUGAGAGAGGGAGAAAAGGGGCCAGACUCCACUUUUCUAGUGAGCCCCUGGCCUCAGUAAGAACCCAGCCUUUGUCCAUUAAAGGGGGCGGGGCCCUCCCGGCUGAAUCAAGCUGGUGGCUCUGGGGUACAAUUUCUAAUAUAUUCUUUUGGGGGACACCUUCCAACUCAGCACAGCCCACAGUGACUAAGACAGUGAAGUACUCCCCAGGUUGGAAAAGAAAGUGAUUCUGGUCCUCGCUGAUAGAGUUAUUUCCAAAAGAUGAAAAAUAUUAACAAAAGAUGAGAAAUAUAAAAUAAAAAGCGGCCUUUAUUCUGAGAACACGGAGAGAGAUGACCGGCAACCCCACCGCUGGCGUCCGGCGAUCUCUCCGGCGGACACGAGGCAUGGGGGCCUGUAAAUAACCUCGGUUUGGGGUGGAACCUAAGGCGGGCAUUAGGGAUACACAGGUAGCCCAUUGGUCCUAGGUUUGGCGCCAUAUGUAAAUUCCCAGGGGCGGGAAGAUGGCAUCACAGGUAACUUCCUAGGGGCAGGGCAAGAUGGGGCUUCCUGCUUCCGGCUGUGGCUUUCCUGGCUACAGUGUCCUGUCUGGGCCAAACCUUUCAUAUCCCGUCUUAUGGUUAUUAUUAUGAAAAGGGGCGAAGAUUUCUCUCUUUAACUACUUCCUGCUGGCAAAGGGCGCUGUACUGGAGCCUAGGGGAGUCGACGGGAUGAAGGUUGAUGCCCAGGUAGAUGCUGCUGCCAGGUGUUUUAGCCAGGACAGCUUCACUGGUGAAUGCACGUAUGUCAGACUGGAAAAACAAAGAGACAAGAUGUUAUGAGGAGACAUGGCACUGUCAUAUUUAAGGACCCAGGUGAGGUAGAAGGAAAGGUGCCUUUGAUUUAGUCUAUCAGGACCAUGUUGAGGUAGAAACAUUUCCACGGUGAGGCAGAAUUCUGAAAAUUAAACAUGGGGUUAGGAGGAGUGGAGUUAUGAGAGGUAAUUACUCCCCCAUCUGAAAGCAUAAAAGUUAAGACGGUAGGUUGGUGAGGCUUGUCUCUGGUAUGCAUGAUGUUGGAGUCUGUAGGCAAUACUGCUAAAGAGUUCUGCUGUAAAAAUGACCAUUAAUAGAAUGUAAGAAACUAGGAACCAAAGUGGAUAACAAAACAUGACUUAGCCUGUUAACUGUGGCUGCGAGGCCUUCGUGAAACGGAGAUUGGGUAGGCGACAGAAGAUGAGGUGACCACUCAGAAUGAUCCGAUUUAGGGCUGGAAGGGCACCUCUUAGCCUGAGUGAUGUGAAACCAGGAUGGGAGUCCAGUAAUUUGGAUUCAUGCAUGGGUCGCUGUAACCUGGUUGUAUCAGCAGUUUACCUGGUUGUGGGAAAGGCUUUUAUGUAUCCUGAAAAAGUAUAAACAAAGUGAGAAGACAAAAUAUAUCUGUCAGUCUUGACCAGGGUUGUCUGACAAAUUGGUGAAUAAGAAAGGAAGGGGGUGGUCUGUAUCACUGAGGAAGGGUCCACCAGCAACAACAGGUAGGAGCUGUUGAGGCCUCAGUGUGUCUAAGUCAGCCUGUAUAAAAGGCAUUUUAAGAUUUAGGACUGGGACCUGCACAAAAUAGGCCCUGUUUGUAAAUGGCAUAGGUUGACCAUCAAUACCCCAUCAUAGAGAUUGAGGACUUAAUAUAGCAGCCUGAAUAUUCAGGAAGAACUCUGUAUAUAUGGCCUCUAUGUCCACAAAUAUAGAGAAUGUCUUACCUGAGAGUUUUGUGCGACUUGGAAUCUGAGACGGACACCUUAAAGGGGGCUGUUGUUGCCCUGAACUUCCUCAGUCUUCAGCAGCAAUUUUCUGUCGGUGAUGAAUCACAGUGUCGACAUUUCCUGUGAGGGCUAUUACUUAGGAUGGCUUACCCACUCUCUGGUGGCUAGGACAGUCCAGUAGCCCUGGAGUAAGGUCUCAAAGAAUGCCAGGAUGGGGCAUUUUCUUGCCCAGUAUCUUGUGCUGUAUUUGAGCGUGGUCCAUGGAGGGGGCAGGCAGCUCCACCUUGUGUAGGUUUACCUGUCUCAGAACUCCAAGUGUCACAAGUGUUAAAAAUAUAAAAAACCAUAUUAAGAUCUCUCUAAGGUUUGAAGGUCAAGUUUUGCCUUUUUGUUUGGGAUUUGGACUACAGUAGAAUUAAGUAAGUAUGCAGGAAUUUAAUAUUGGCAUUUUAGAUUAGAAAGCAGGCUUUAUCUGGAUGGCACAUUGCUUUUUUUUUAUAGGGUGACACGUAGAAUUAACAAAGCUUUAGUCUGCCAAACAAGGCUUUAAUGGAAACAUUUUGCAGUAAAGGUUUAGCAAUCUUAUGAAUAAAUCUAUCAAAACUGAUCUAAUACUGUCAAAUUCUGAACACAUUUACUUUUAAAGUUGUUAUUUGCAGUAGUAUGAACCAAGGCAAAUAAAAUAAAACUUUUCCCAGCAAAAAGGAAUUUAUAACCUUAGUUGUUAAACAGGAGAUUGGUGAAGGCUUUGAUUGAUAAACAAGGCUGGUAAAAUUAUCAGGUAGCCAAUAACCUUGAUUAAAUGGUUUGAGAAUUGAAAUAAAAAAGCAUCUUUUGAGCGGAGCCAAAUUGUAAAAAAGCACGCCUGAGCAGAGCCGCUGAGCUGCUGUUUCGCGGCACUCUGGCAGAGCACGCCCAGUGUGUGGGGCAAGCGCUGGGAUGUAGCGCGCAGGGGCGGGCUCGGACUGCCCCCGGAAACGUGUAAGGUGGCGGCGGCGACGAGG